UCUCCGUAGGUGAACCUGCGGAAGGAUCAUUCAUAAUUAAAUGUUCUAUGGCACUUUUUGAAAAUCUAUAUCCACCUUUUGUGCAAUGUUAGAUCUCCUCAGUCUUGGCGAGAUUUUUAUACAUCAACUCAUUCUUUUACUAAUUUGUCUGAAAAAUAUUAUGAAUACUUCAUUCAAAAUACAACUUUCAACAACGGAUCUCUUGGCUCUC
rnacentral:misc_RNA from 1 species